GAUGGACGCUGGCGGCGUGCCUAAUACAUGCAAGUCGAGCGAACGGACGAGAAGCUUGCUUCUCUGAUGUUAGCGGCGGACGGGUGAGUAGCACGUGGAUAACCUACCUAUAAGACUGGGAUAACUUCGGGAAACCGGAGCUAAUACCGGAUAAUAUUUUGAACCGCAUGGUUCAAAAGUGAAAGACGGUCUUGCUGUCACUUAUAGAUGGAUCCGCGCUGCAUUAGCUAGUUGGUAAGGUAACGGCUUACCAAGGCAACGAUGCAUAGCCGACCUGAGAGGGUGAUCGGCCACACUGGAACUGAGACACGGUCCAGACUCCUACGGGAGGCAGCAGUAGGGAAUCUUCCGCAAUGGGCGAAAGCCUGACGGAGCAACGCCGCGUGAGUGAUGAAGGUCUUCGGAUCGUAAAACUCUGUUAUUAGGGAAGAACAUAUGUGUAAGUAACUGUGCACAUCUUGACGGUACCUAAUCAGAAAGCCACGGCUAACUACGUG
rnacentral:rRNA from 1 species